rnacentral:rRNA from 1 species
AUACGGAGGAUCCAAGCGUUAUCGGGAUUUAUUGGGUUUAAAGGGUGCGCAGGCGGCCUUAUAAGUCAGUGGUGAAAUCUCCCGGCUCAACCGGGAAACUGCCAUUGAUACUGUAAGGCUAGAAUACAGACGAGGUAGGCGGAAUGUAGCAUGUAGCGGUGAAAUGCUUAGAUAUGCUACAGAACACCGAUCGCGAAGGCAGCUUACCAGACUGCAAUUGACGCUAAGGCACGAAAGCGUGGGGAGCGAACAGGAUUAGAAACCCCAGUAGUCC